rnacentral:rRNA from 1 species
CCUACGGGUGGCAGCAGUGAGGAAUAUUGAUCAAUGGGCGAGAGCCUGAACCAGCCAAGUCGCGUGAGGGAAGACGGUCCUAUGGAUUGUAAACCUCUUUUGCCGGGGAGCAAAAAGCGGUACGUGUACCGCAUCGAGAGUACCCGGAGACAAAGCAUCGGCUAACUCCGUUCCAGAAGCCGCGGGAAUACGGAGGAUGCGAGCGUUAUCCGGAUUUAUUGGGUGUAAAGGGUGCGCAGGCGGCGAGCUUAGUCAGAGGUAAAAUGUCGGGGCUCAACCCCGACAAGCCGUUGAUACUGGCUUGCUAGAGUGGGCGAGAAGUAUGCGGAAUGCGUGGUGUAGCGGUGAAAUGCAUAGAUAUCACGCAGAACUCCGAUUGCGAAGGCAGCAUACCGGCGCCCAACUGACGCUCAGGCACGAAAGCGUGGGUAUCGAACAGGAUUAGAUACCCGUGUAGUC